rnacentral:tRNA from 1 species
CACUAAGAAGCUACACCAGCACUAGCCUUUUAAGCUAGAGAGGGAAACUAUUUUCCCUUAGUGA